rnacentral:tRNA from 1 species
AUCUAAAUAGCUUAUGUAGAGCAUGGCAUUGAAGAUGCUAGGGAGAUUAAUUUAAUCUUUGGAUA